rnacentral:rRNA from 1 species
GAUGAACGCUGGCGGUAUGCUUAACACAUGCAAGUCGAACGGACUCUUCGGAGUUAGUGGCGGACGGGUGAGUAACGCGUGAGAAUCUGGCUUUGGGUUCGGGACAACCACUGGAAACGGUGGCUAAUACCGGAUGUGCCGAGAGGUAAAAGAGAAAUGGCCUGAAGAUGAGCUCGCGUCUGAUUAGCUAGUUGGUGAGGUAAAGGCUCACCAAGGCAGCGAUCAGUAGCUGGUCUGAGAGGAAGACCAGCCACACUGGGUCUGAGACACGGCCGAGACUCCUACGGGAGGCAGCAGUGGAGAAUUUUCCACAAUGGGCGAAAGCCUGACGGAGCAAUACCGCGUGAGGGAAGAAGGCUCUUGGGUUGUAAACCUCUUUUCUUAGGGAAGAACAAAAUGACGGUACCUAAGGAAUCAGCAUCGGCUAACUCCGUG